GCAGGUAAACAUUGCGAAAUUUUGUUCAAUGUUGAAUACGACUGUUUCAUACUAUGAUAUUCAUUGUUUAUAUUUCACUAUACCUUGAAAAAUAAUUGCAAUCUGGUAUAACAAUUACUUAAUCCCUUUGUAUUUCCCUUAAGUGAUUAAUAAUGCAUAAAAUCAUUCGAAAGAAAUCCGAUUCAACUUGGCCCUUGUCUAACUCGUCCCGAAAUUUUCUGGUACUAAUUACAAUUGAAAUUGUUAAACAAUAUGACUCAAGUUCAGAUCUACUUAUUUUCAUACAUGUAGAUCUGAUUUCCACAGUUUUGCCUUCAUCAGAUGUAGGAUUUCAUGAUAUUUAUAGUCAGUCCAUAAUUUUAUAGAUUUUUUAUUUUGUAAAUUUAUAGACAUUUAUAUGAAAAAAGUAGUUGUAUUAAAAUUCAAAACCAUAGGUCAAUAAUAAUUAGAUUACUGAUUAUAUUAUUAAAUAUAACAGAUUCCAGAUAACGUGCGUAUCGGCGUAUUUUACGCUUCAAAAUCAACUAAAAACACACAAGGUUACCAAUUUGUUGCAUUCAUUUACUCACUCUGUAAAUUAAUUACUCAAAGAAUGAAAAUUUGAAGCGUUUUUGGUGUGUACUUUCAUUUUCAAAACAGCUGAUUGACCGCUUCCGUCAUACACUGAUGAAAUUUACCUCAUUACCUUUGUUGAUAUGAACAGUCAAUAAAAACAACUUGUCUUUAGCAGCGGAAUUUUAUAAACAUCAUAUUUAGUCAUCUAUAUGAUUAUUAUACCAAUAGCAUUCAAAAGUCUUAUUGAUGGAAGCAUGUGAAUUGGUAGAGGAAGGAAUAAUUAAUCAUGGCAGUGGCUAGCAGUAUGAACCAGUAUUGUUUGACAAAAGUGCUGGCUGUAUGCGAGUCACAUACGACUAGCAUAUACUCACUGUUGAGGCUAGCUGUACAGCAUUUUAAAAAUGAGUUGCUUAAAACAAUAAUAUGCAAACUUAUUUUUCUAAAAGAAGAUUUUAGUGAAUAUCUUAUAUAUACAAUUUCAGUCAAUGCGAAAUUCAAAAAAAAUUCCAGCCACAAGGACUGGGAUCCUUAGAUUUAUUUCCGGCCCUGAUGAUUUUUCCCAGCCCGGACUCUGAAAGGUAUUUUUUGUAGGGGUUGGGGAGGGAUAUUGCCAUAAUUAUAAACAAAAAUAUUCAGCAAAUAUGAAUUAUCAGACUCAACUAUAAGAUACUAUGAAAAAAAUAUACAGAAACAUAAUAAAUAAAACAUUAGCAUAAUUCACAAGAAAACAAUACAUCUUUCAAAGGUUUAAUUUUGAAGAAUGGAGAAAAAAUAUGUUUUGGUAAGGAAAUUAUCCAAGACAAGAUGGUGGCUUACAUAACUUAGCAAAAACUGGUCGUAUCCUGCGGUGAUUUUGGUUAUCUGGGUCUGUGAAUACAAGCAAAAAUGAAAAAAAUAGAUCAAUCUUGGAAGCUUUGCAUAUUUUACAAGGCCAAAAAUUGUUUCAAACUGGCUGAAAUUUUAUUCUGACAUGACCACUGACUGUAUCGAAAUUUAUCUCGGCCCUCCUGAUUUUUAGAUGGCGAGGUCCGAGGACUGGCAGACUUUCGCAAUUUACAGUUAGUAUAGUAAUUUUUAGUGUUUGAUGAUCAGAAGAUUUUUUUUCCUUCUGAAAAUCAUGGACUUGAAUAAUUUAAAUCUGUGUGAAAGCGCAAAGAGAAAGAGACUGAAAAUUAAUUUAUUAUUUCUAUGGACAAUAUAGAUGUAAUACAUUUGUAAUCAAACAUGUGGGUCAAUUUCCAGCAGUAGUUGAAUUAUGACAAAGUAUUUUUAAUAAUUUUAUUUCACUUUUAGCUACUUGAAAAUUUCAUGCUGGAUGUUUGCUUACCAUUACAUUUUGCAUAAGAGCUCUAUAAUUGACAUUAAAGUCCACGGGCCAAUAUCUUUCCAUUAUCUUGUUAUUAUAUAAAUGGCUGAACAUCAUCGUAGAAUUAUUAAGAAAAAAUAUAUAUGUUCAUUCUUUGUAAAAAUGUUAGGAGACUUGCAAGCUACUGACUUUAUCAUUGCAUUUAUUUAUUAUUGAAAAAAAUGCUGAACGGCUAGCCGCAACAGUGUGUAUAGGCUAGAACUUUCAGUUUGCAUUUAGGGCCAAAAUAUAUUGUUACAGUCAUGACAGCUUUCCCGUUGCUGUCAACAAACUUUAACCUUGUUCAUAACUUUUUCAGAUCUAAUGGCGUAUUGUCUUCAUACUUGGCCACAACAAUCCUUCAAAUAGACCAGACUAAACUUGACCUCCAUAUUAACAUUCAAGAAGGUCGGCCUACAUGUCAGAAUUGUGAAUGUGAACGGCAGGAUAUCGAUUUUAAGGAUGCUUUAGGGUCAAUGAGGAUGAAAUCAAGAGAGAUAAAGGCUAAAAUGUGAGACUGUCAAUCUGACUAACCUUGAAGUGAAUAAAUGGAAAAAGGUUUCUUUCUAUAGCAUGGGCAUUUAAGGAAGAGGAAACAGAGGCGCUUGUAUGAUAGAACAGUAAAAGCAGGAGUGAUAAGGACAGAUACAUGUAGAUGUGUCUUCAUGUCAGAAACACUAGAGAAAUUUGAAAUAUUUUGGUUUUUCAAAACUUAAAAGAAAUUGGAAUACCAGCUGCCUGCCCUUUGCAAUGUUGGAUAAUGAGUUCAUAGAUGUGAUGUCGAAAACCUCAUGAAUAUAGUACCAUGACUUAAUCUAAUUAGAAAAAGAAAUGACAUUCAGGAGAAAACUAGUCACUAGUCUUUCACCAAGUACAUGAGAUAACUUUCAUUUGAAAUAUCAUAAUAUGUAUAGAACUUUAAUGAGCCACCAGUUUUUCACCAGGAGAAUAAGAUCAUUUAUCUAUUUUUGAAAUAUGUAUGAACUUCAAGGUGAGAGUUUAUCACGAAGAACAGAACAUGGGAUAACCUAUGUAUGGACAGAUCCACAUUUGUAUAUAGAGGCGCCAGUUCAUCACCAAGAAGAUGAGCUAACUUAUCAAUGUUUGAAAUCUGUUAUACCCCUGUGCAACAAAGUUGUAAGGGGGGUAUACUGGAAUCAACUUGUCCGGCUGUCGGGUGUCCGUCGGCUUUUUCUUGUCCGUCCAAUAACUUAAGAUUCCUUUGACCCACAGUCUUCAUUUUUGGCAUGGAGGUUAGUCAUUAUUAGUAGAUGACCCUUAUGGAUUUUGAGGUCAAAGGUCAAGGUCACAGGGGCUUUGACUUCUAAAAGCUUGUCUGCCCAAUAACUUAAGAAUCCUUGGACCCACAGUCUUCAUAUUUGGCAUGGAGGUUAGUCAUGAUUAGUAGAUGACCCCUAUUUAUUUUGAGGUGAAAGGUCACAAGGGCCUUGGCUAAUUAAAGCUUGUCCGCCCAAUUACCUAAGAAUCCUUUGACCCACAGUCUUCAUAUUUGGCAUGAAGGUUAGUCAAGAUUAUUAGAUGACCACUAUUGAUUUUGAGGUCACUGGGUCAAUGUCACAGGGGCUUUUAUUACAAUUAGCUUGUCUGCUCAAAUGGUCUCAUAUAUUCAUCAUAAAACACAUCCAGGCAAGGCUGCAUGAAAUGGGGGGAUUAUUGAAGUCAUUCAAUGGCAGUUUCAGUUUUGAGGUCAGUAGGUCAAGGGUAAAGUUCACUUUGAUCUUUUCCACUAAAACAUGUAGAAUACAUAAUUUAGCAAUGCACUGGCUUACUUCCCUCAGAUUUGGCUGGGAGGAUGUCUUUGAGCUCUAAAUGACUACUGUUGAUUCUGAAAAAUUGGUAUGCGGGGGUAUUCACGCCAUGACAGUGGCAUUUCUUGUUUGUACAGAAAAGUAUCAAGGUGCAAGUUUCUUUUAUUAAGAACAGACUUAUUGUUUAGAUAACUUACAAUA